CCCGCACAAGCGGUGGAGCAUGUGGUUUAAUUUCGAUGCAACGCGAAGAACCUUACCUGGUCUUGACAUAGUAAGAACUUUCCAGAGAUGGAUUGGUGCCUUCGGGAACUUACAUACAGGUGCUGCAUGGCUGUCGUCAGCUCGUGUCGUGAGAUGUUGGGUUAAGUCCCGCAACGAGCGCAACCCUUUUCCUUAUUUGCCAGCGGGUUAAGCCGGGAACUUUAAGGAUACUGCCAGUGACAAACUGGAGGAAGGCGGGGACGACGUCAAGUCAUCAUGGCCCUUACGACCAGGGCUACACACGUGCUACAAUGGUCGGUACAAAGGGUUGCUAGUCCGUGAGGAGGAGCUAAUCCCAAAAAGCCGUUCUCAGUUCGGAUCGGAGUCUGCAACUCGACUCCGUGAAGUUGGAAUCGCUAGUAAUCGUGGAUCAGCAUGCCACGGUGAAUACGUUCCCGGGCCUU
rnacentral:rRNA from 1 species